rnacentral:tRNA from 1 species
GAGGGCAUAGCUCAGUGGGUACAGCGUGUGCUUAGCAUGCACGAGGUCCUGGGUUGAAUCCCCAGGACCUUCU